rnacentral:rRNA from 1 species
UACGAAGGGGGCUAGCGUUGCUCGGAAUCACUGGGCGUAAAGCGCACGUAGGCGGAUUGCUAAGUCAGGGGUGAAAUCCUGGAGCUCAACUCCAGAACUGCCUUUGAUACUGGCGAUCUCGAGUCCGGGAGAGGUGAGUGGAACUGCGAGUGUAGAGGUGAAAUUCGUAGAUAUUCGCAAGAACACCAGUGGCGAAGGCGGCUCACUGGCCCGGUACUGACGCUGAGGCGCGAAAGCCAGGGGAGCAAACGGG